rnacentral:misc_RNA from 1 species
GAAAUGUGAUAAGUAAUGUGAAUUGCAGAAUUCAGUGAAUCAUCGAAUCUUUGAACGCACCUUGCGCUCCUUGGUAUUCCUUGGAGCAUGCCUGUUUGAGUAUCAUGAAAUCUUCAAAGUAAAUCUUUUGUUAACUCAAUUGGUUUCUACUUUGGUAUUGGAGGUCUUUGCAGCUUCACACCUGCUCCUCUUUGUUCAUUAGCUGGAUCUCAGUGUUAUGCUUGGUUCCACUCGGCGUGAUAAGUUAUCUAUCGCUGAGGACACUGUAAAAGGUGGCCAAGGUAAAUCAGAUGAACCGCUUCUAAUAGUCCAUUGACUUGGACAAUACUUUUAUGAUCUGAUCUCAAAUCAGGUAGGACUACCCGCUGAACUUAAGC